rnacentral:rRNA from 1 species
UACGUAGGGUGCGAGCGUUGCCCGGAUUUAUUGGGCGUAAAGGGCGCGUAGGCGGCUCUGCACGUCCGUUGUGAAAUCGCCCCGGCUCAACUGGGGCGGGGGUCAGCGGAUACGGCGGAGCUUGAGCAAGCUAGGGGGCAAUGGAAUUCCCGGUGUAGUGGUGGAAUGCGUAGAUAUCGGGAGGAACACCAGUGGCGAAGGCGGUUGCCUGGGGCUUUGCUGACGCUGAUGCGCGAAAGCGUGGGGAGCGAUCCGG